UACGGAGGAUCCAAGCGUUAUCCGGAUUUAUUGGGUUUAAAGGGUGCGUAGGCGGAUUGAUAAGUUAGAGGUGAAAUGUCCGAGCUCAACUCGGGAACUGCCUCUAAUACUGUUGAUCUAGAGAGUAGAUGCGGUAGGCGGAAUGUAUGGUGUAGCGGUGAAAUGCUUAGAGAUCAUACAGAACACCGAUUGCGAAGGCAGCUUACCAGACUGCGACUGACGCUGAAGCACGAGAGCGUGGGUAGCGAACAGG
rnacentral:rRNA from 1 species